ensembl:lncRNA
GGAAAUGUAUUUCAUUCUGUUAUGGCUUUUGCUUCCCGUAGGAGGUAUUACUUUUAAUUUAUUGAAUAAACCUUUCUGAAAUGUAUUCCCAUAAGAGUUUAGGUGCAAUAGAGUCUCUGGGCAAGUUGUCCAGGAGGUCUCACCAUCUUCUCUUUUUAGCAGAGACGCAGCUGUUUUUAUAUACAGCGACAUUAAGCUCAGGAAAAAGUCAACACUCCCAUGAAAUGGGAAAACUGGAUGCUAAAGAAUGGUGUAACUUCUCAAAUAUUGUUGUGCUAAUCGUGGGCUUUUCUGAGCUUCUGGGACGCGUUGGUCUACGCCUGCUCUCCUGCAUCUUCUCAUCUUGUCCUUGGAGAAUGAUUUUGGUAAGCCUGGGUUGAGCUGGCAGAGGCUUUGUGAGGCUUCUGACACUGAGUAUGGAAGUGGAUUGAAAGAAGGAUCCUUCCUACAGUAGCAUAAAGCCUGGAUGGCUCAGAGUUGUAACUUUUUCUGGUUUCAAUGGAUGCUUUUUUUUCCUUGAAUGGGUAAGAAAGUAGGAGGAGAAAAACAGGGACUGUGUACGAUGUCUGCGUGGCUGAAAUAGAAGGAAAUAAAGAUGGGGAGGAGAAUGAAAGAGCGUAACUAUGUAGCUGAUAACACUCAGGCUGGCAAACAGCUUUACCAUGGAUGUGCUACUAUAGAUGGGAAGUGCAGAGCUCAGACUGCUGCCAGCCUGCGCUUCUCUGUCCUGUCAUGUAUUUCACUGGACCCAGGUGUACAGCGUGGCUGCUCUGUGCAUCACAACUCUGCCUACCGUGCAGCCUGGCCAUCAGGGAUGGGAGGUGGGUGUUUGGUGCUGCCCUGUUUGUCCCGGUGGGCUUCCGUGCUGCCUUGCAUGCUCCGAGUGGGUCUCACCAUUGCCUGUGUAAGUGAGAGCAUCGGGAGCUUCUGAGUCACUGUGGAAAGUUAACCUUGAGCUUCAGAGUGGUCGAGAAGUUUUCACUCUGGGUGCUUUUUAUCCUUGCUUUUUCCUAUACUUUUUCUUCCUUCCUACUUUCUGGCAUUCAAUGUGACAUUCAGCUGUAUGCCUUUUCUGGGGCUGAAGAUAGCAGCCUAAAGAUAUCACUUGAAUUGCAGUUGAAAAGAGUGAGAUUGCUGCAGUGGGUUAUAUAUUCUUGGAUUCCUUACUGUUUCCAUGGAAUACACUCUUUUGGGUCACUUAAUAACCAUAUUGCUGUGCUAGUGUCUGGGCAUUCUAGUUAAAACAGGACCAAAAUAUUUGUAGGAAAACAGGAGCUCCUCUUGUUCUGGAUCUAACUCAAACAGAUGGACUAGAAGGAGUGGGAAAAGGAGCAAUAUGGUUGGCAGCAUCUGGGGCAAAUAAAAACAAAGCCAGAAGGGAUGAAUUAGUUGUGAUGCUCACAAGGGGAGCGGGAAAGACUUGUGUAGAAGACUGAUAGCAGAGGAUGCUACAGAGAGGCAUUCUUGCUGGUCCCGCUUGAGAGAAAAUCCAAGGCUAGGGAAGACAUAGCAGAAAAGCAAGGAGGAGUCUGGUUGGUGUUUUCCUUGGAGCCAGUGAUAAAGUACAAGGGAGCAAGAGAAGAGAUCUUCCUCCAGGACUGAGGGCAGUGCAGCAGAAGCAAUAGCUGAGCCCUGUUGAGGGCACAAAACAAGCAGCUUGUGGGGAAUGUAAUGGGACUUCCCAUCAAGUCCAGAUAUUAUCAUUAUUAUUAUUUUAAUUUAUUUCAUAGCCCAACCUUUGUAAGCAGAGAGACUGAGAAGCACUGCUGGGAUGGACAGGAAAGAUUUGGGAAGGAAGGGUUGGGAUGGCUGGAAGAUCUCGUGGAUGCUGAGCUGUUGUACUGAUGCACUGUGCUUGGGCUGAAAGCACCAUAUAUGUUGUGGGAUAAGUGGCUUGUGUUGCUGUGGCUCGUCUUGUUAGCAGUGUUUAUUUUGAGUGAUGGUGGAGUGUCCUUAUUUGCUUUACAAGCCGUAAUGAAGCUUGGAGUUGAACCACAUUUGUGAAGCUUGUCUUUAUGUGGUUGCAUGUUCUGUAAGUGGUAGUUGCCCAGGGGAGCUGGAUCGCAUGUAGCUGGUGGGAGAAUGGGGGAACACACGGUGUACAACUGUCAGCAGUAAGUCAACGUUUUAUUGUCCAUCUCUUUCUUUCUUCUGCCAGGAAAUGUCUCCUUGCUACAAGAGAUGGCUUCCUGAGAACAAAGUACUCUAAAGCAGGCUGGGUAGAAUCUGUAGUGGGCACAGCUGAGGCUCCUCAGACAUGUUUGAAUUCCCAGUGUGAUGACUCAGUGGAAUGUUGCUUUGUAUUUCCAGCACAUGAACUGUACAGUGGAGCAUGCCGUUGCACCAGUGACCACACUAAACAAUUCAGAUGGCAUGAGGUACCCCCAGAUAACACUUCCUGAGGAGUUUCCCAAGCAAGGUGGCCUGCAAACAGCUGUGAGAUCAAGUAGUUGGAGGUCACCUCCCUUCUGCAGAGAACUGGAGGGAUGGGUGGUUUCUGCCUUCUUCGUUCAAGUGGCACAACAUCAAUGUGUAGAGAAGGAUCUAACAUGCUGAAUUGGAAAUAUUUUUUUUCCCCCAUGCUUUGUAUUAGGACAACUCUGGAAAUACUCUUUCUGGCUUUGCUUUUGUUCUUCCUGGCUUUGUAGGGAAUAUUUGAACAAAAGGAGUUGAGGCUGUUCUCAUGACCACAGGGAUAGAACUGAAUUUUCCCAGCUUAGAAAAGGAGCAGCUACAGAUCUUUCUGCAGAGACUAAUAAAGCUUUUGUCUUUUUCCUUCUUCCCUGGUGUUACAAACUGGGGAUACACCCACCUCUGUAAGCAUAUAUGCUUUAUUUACAGUAUGUCUAGCUUAGAUGCUUUGUCUUUCCCCCGAAGAGCAGCAGGAGGCCUGUGAUUUCUCACUCCUUAGGAGCUGCCUGGGCUUUGGGAAGGGACAAAGCUCAAAAAAUCAGCACUGCAGGUGAGCCUGUGGAUUUGAUGCCUUAUCCCCACAGGAGCACAGAUGUGCCUGGGUGAGGGCUGGGUCUCUGUGCCACGGACCAUUGCUAAGCAGGACAGUGGGACAGGGAAGGUUAGGUGAGCUGCUGGGUGUUUCCCUGACGGGACAGAGGAUGCAGUUAGUUAUUUCUGGAAACAACCCAGCCUACUGAAGUUAUAUUUAGCUGUUAGGUAAUUGAUUUAAACUGGGAUUAUACCUAAAUUAGAGACGAGAAGGUAAAGCUGAGUGAUAAGAAUAUCUGGUUUUUGUUCCCUGACUGUAGCAGGUCGAGGGGUAUGAGUAUCUAACUGCAUGAAAAUCCUUACAGAAUGCAGGGAUUUUAAAGAAGAGACAACAGACAGAUAAAGUCAUACCAGGGAGUGCACAGAGACUCUUCUUUUUUUUCUGUGAUACUUAGCAGCCUCUGAAAAUGAGUGUUUUGCCUUUAGUGAGUAUUUGUGAGUCUUAAGUCAUGGGGGGAAAAAAAGGGUUGCUUAUGUUUAGGAGAAUUUCUUCAAAAUAUGAGGGGAGGAACAGGAAUGAAGUUCCCAGAGCACAAAACUGGGUUACGGAGACUUAACAUAGUGGAAUGAAUGUAGGCAGUAACUGAAAAAGAUGGGGAGGAUGGGACUCGUUGGGGAGGGGAUGUGUUUGAUGUAAUACCAGGUUGAGGUUCAAUGGAAAGCUACAUCGGAAAGGGUGAUGUUGUUGAAGCCAAAGUCUUCAUAGAGCAUUCUGGAUGGGUGUACGUACAGCGAUACUGCAUUGGAAAGACAGCAAAAGAGAAUACCACAGCCAUUGAGAAGAUAGGAGUAUGCAUGAGACUUCUACCUAGGCUUUGCAUUUGAAAGACAGUAUGUUGGAGAUUUGUAUAUAGGCAUAUCUUAUUCUAACUCCUGGCCAGGGGCAGCAGACAGGAGGAAUGCUGCUUAUGCUGACCUCUGCUGUCUUCCUGCCCCACGCUGCCAGCAGAGAUGUAGGAUUUUCCAUGUGUGCUGGAGAGUAUAUCUGGAUGCACUGUGGACAAUGGCGUUCCAGCUGGAAAUGCAGCUCUCCCACAGCCCUUGGCCUGGGGCAGCUAAGUAUCCUUCCCAGGAUGUGCCAGGUGGGUCCGACUCCUGAUAGCAGACAGGAGGAUGCACUGCCCUUGCAGGUAAUGUGUGCCAUCCGUGGUAUCCUCAGCUGGCAGAGACAGAGAUGGCUUUGUCAGAAAGGAAGAAGGUGAUACGUAUGGUUUUAAGUACAGAAGGUGAAACUCUAGACAGCAGCAAUGCUUUUUCUUUUUUUUUUAAGAGCAGAGAAAGGACGUACAGGUGUAGUAAUUCCUUUUGUCUGAAACUUAUUCAGCUUAUUCCAAGUACCUUUUGCAAUGUUUUCUUUACGCAUUGAAUGCCUUAAUGAAGAGCUGGC